rnacentral:rRNA from 1 species
AUUGAACGCUGGUGGCAGGCCUAACACAUGCAAGUCGAGCGGAUGAAGGGGGCUUGCUCCUGGAUUCAGCGGCGGACGGGUGAGUGAUGCGCAGGAAUCUACCUCGUAGUGGGGGAUAACGUCUCGAAAGGGGCGCUAAUACCGCGUACGUUCUGAGGAAGAAAGUAGGGGACCUUCGGGCCUUGCGCUAUGAGAUGAGCUUGCGUCCGAUUAGCUAGUUGGUGGGGUAAAGGCCUACCAAGGCGACGAUCGGUAACUGGUCUGAGAGGAUGAUCAGUCACACUGGAACUGAGACACGGUCCAGACUCCUACGGGAGGCAGCAGUGGGGAAUAUUGGACAAUGGGGGCAACCCUGAUCCAGCCAUUCCGCGUGAGUGAAGAAGGCCUCGGUUGUAAG